rnacentral:rRNA from 1 species
UACGUAGGGUGCAAGCAUUAAUCGGAUUUAUUGGGCGUAAAGGGCGCGUAGGCGGGAAUGUAAGUCAGAUGUGAAAUCCCGGGGCUCAACCCCGGAACAGCAUUUGAAACUGCGUUUCUAGAGGGUAGGCGGAGAAAACGGAAUUCCACAAGUAGCGGUGAAAUGCGUAGAUAUGUGGAAGAACACCAGUGGCGAAGGCGGUUUUCUAGCUUAUACCUGACGCUGAUGCGCGAAAGCAAGGGGAGCAAACAGG